UUUCAAGAUACUUUAAGCAGAUCCUCAGCACCCCAGAGGCUGAGGUGCCAGGAAAGGGCUGUUGGGCCCAUGAUAGACAAAGCCACUGGCACUGCUGAUUAAGCAGCUCCGGGUUCCUGGGAAGCCCAUGUGAUAUCUUGGAGUCCAAUCAAGAAUAUUUUCCUAAAGCAUUUUGACAUGAUGAGCUCCACACAAGUGAAUGAAGGAACUGCCCAGGCCCAGCUCUAAAAACUCUGCUCUGGAUCUGCUGCUGAUCCACCUAUAGCCAGGCACGAACUCCUGGCAGACAGUGGUGCCACCCCGGGUUUCAGGAACACUGCCCUAAUUCCAUGGUUCUGUGCUGAUUACACAGCCUCAGCCACUUAAUAGUGGAUGUAGGGUUGGUUUUAUUUCCUGUAAAGAACAGGGUGUUUGGCAAAAGAGGAGAGUGAGAGUGACAGCUGUGUACACAUUUCACAUAUUUCCAGUGUUAUUUCUCCUCCAGAGAAGAACAGAGCUGUUAUUAAUAA